GACGAACGCUGGCGGCGUGCUUAACACAUGCAAGUCGAACGCCCUUGACCUUCGGGUCGUAUAAGGGAGUGGCGAACGGGUGAGUAACACGUGAGAAACCUGCCCCGAAGUCGGGAAUAAGCCGAGGAAACUUGGUCUAAUACCGGAUACCUCGCAUUGAUCGAAUGGUCGAUGCAAGAAAGAUUUAUCGCUUUGGGAGGGUCUCGCGGUCUAUCAGCUAGUUGGUGAGGUAAAGGCUCACCAAGGCAACGACGGAUAGCUAGUCUGAGAGGACGAUUAGCCACACUGGAACUGAGAUACGGUCCAGACUCCUACGGGAGGCAGCAGUCGGGAAUAUUGCACAAUGGACGAAAGUCUGAUGCAGCGACGCCGCGUGGGGGAUGAAGGCCCUAUGGGUCGUAAACCCCUUUCAGUGGGGACGAAAAUGACGGUACCCACAGAAGAAGCCCCGGCCAACUACG
rnacentral:rRNA from 1 species